GUGGCGACCGGCGCACGGGUGAGUAACACGUAUCCAACCUGCCGAUAACUCGGGGAUAGCCUUUCGAAAGAAAGAUUAAUACCCGAUGGUAUAAUCAGACCGCAUGGUUUGAUUAUUAAAGAAUUUCGGUUAUCGAUGGGGAUGCGUUCCAUUAGGCAGUUGGUGAGGUAACGGCUCACCAAACCUUCGAUGGAUAGGGGUUCUGAGAGGAAGGUCCCCCACAUUGGAACUGAGACACGGUCCAA
rnacentral:rRNA from 1 species